UGAUGGAUAGCUCAAUGGGUAGAGCGCAUGACUCCAAUCAUGAAGUUGUUGGUUCAAAUCCAACUCCAUCAGCCA
rnacentral:tRNA from 2 species